AUACAAAGCCAGAUCGGUGCACGUGCAAAUUUGAAUUUGUAGAACUCUGUUUAUUUUGAGUAUUCAAUCAGUCCUUGUGAAAACCUGAAUAUUUCUAGUUGCAGGUUUUAGACUAGAGCAAUAACUAGGUCAUAAUGGCAGAGUUCAAGUCCACACAUACACCUUACACUGAAGACCCCACGCCUGAUAUGGAGUUCAAUGUGAAGAAGGAGCCAUUUUGGAUUUCUGACUCUGGAGAAGAAAAUCAACAGCUGUUAACAGUGAAG